UACGUAGGGUGCAAGCGUUAAUCGGAAUUACUGGGCGUAAAGCGUGCGCAGGCGGUUUUGGAAGUCAGAUGUGAAAUCCCCGGGCUUAACCUGGGAACUGCGUUUGAAACUACAAGGCUAGAGUGUGGCAGAGGGGGGUGGAAUUCCACGUGUAGCAGUGAAAUGCGUAGAGAUGUGGAGGAACACCGAUGGCGGAGGCAGCCCCCUGGGUUAACACUGACGCUCAGGCACGAAAGCGUGGGGAGCAAACAGG
rnacentral:rRNA from 1 species